rnacentral:rRNA from 1 species
CUCUGUGGGAUCAGUGGCGAACGGGUGAGUAACACGUGAGCAACCUGCCCCUGACUCUGGGAUAAGCGCUGGAAACGGCGUCUAAUACUGGAUAUGUGACGUGACCGCAUGGUCUGCGUUUGGAAAGAUUUUUCGGUUGGGGAUGGGCUCGCGGCCUAUCAGCUUGUUGGUGAGGUAAUGGCUCACCAAGGCGUCGACGGGUAGCCGGCCUGAGAGGGUGACCGGCCACACUGGGACUGAGACACGGCCCAGACUCCUACGGGAGGCAGCAGUGGGGAAUAUUGCACAAUGGGCGAAAGCCUGAUGCAGCAACGCCGCGUGAGGGAUGACGGCCUUCGGGUUGUAAACCUCUUUUAGCAGGGAAGAAGCGAAAGUGACGGUACCUGCAGAAAAAGCGCCGGCUAACUACGUGCCAGCAGCCGCGGUAAUACGUAGGGCGCAAGCGUUAUCCGGAAUUAUUGGGCGUAAAGAGCUCGUAGGCGGUUUGUCGCGUCUGCUGUGAAAUCCCGAGGCUCAACCUCGGGCCUGCAGUGGGUACGGGCAGACUAGAGUGCGGU